rnacentral:rRNA from 1 species
GAUGAACGCUGGCGGCGUGCCUAAUACAUGCAAGUCGAGCGAACAGACGAGGAGCUUGCUCCUCUGACGUUAGCGGCGGACGGGUGAGUAACACGUGGAUAACCUACCUAUAAGACUGGGAUAACUUCGGGAAACCGGAGCUAAUACCGGAUAAUAUAUUGAACCGCAUGGUUCCAUAGUGAAAGACGGUUUUGCUGUCACUUAUAGAUGGAUCCGCGCCGCAUUAGCUAGUUGGUAAGGUAACGGCUUACCAAGGCAACGAUGCGUAGCCGACCCGAGAGGGAGGAUCGGCAGCUGGGAAGUGAGGAACGGCCCAGACUCCUACGGGAGGCAGCAGUAGGGAAUCUUCCGCAAUGGGCGAAAGCCUGACGGAGCAACGCCGCGUGAGUGAUGAAGGUCUUCGGAUCGUAAAACUCUGUUAUUAGGGAAGAACAAAUGUGUAAUUAACGAUGCACGUCUUGACGGUACCUAAUCAGAAAGCCACGGCUAACUACGUG